AGAGUUUGAUCCUGGCUCAGGAUGAACGCUAGCGGCAGGCUUAACACAUGCAAGUCGAGGGGCAGCGGGGAGGAAGCUUGCUUUCUCCGCCGGCGACCGGCGCACGGGUGAGUAACACGUAUGCAACCUGCCCCUGUCAGGGGGACAACCCGCCGAAAGGCGGGCUAAACCCGCGUACAUGCCACCGGGGCAUCCCGGAGGCAGGAAAGGCUUCGGCCGGACAGGGAUGGGCAUGCGGCGCAUUAGGCAGUAGGCGGGGUAACGGCCCACCUAACCGACGAUGCGUAGGGGUUCUGAGAGGAAGGUCCCCCACACUGGUACUGAGACACGGACCAGACUCCUACGGGAGGCAGCAGUGAGGAAUAUUGGUCAAUGGUCGGGAGACUGAACCAGCCAAGCCGCGUGAGGGAGGAAGGUACAGAGUAUCGUAAACCUCUUUUGUCAGGGAACAAAGGCGGGGACGUGUCCCCGGAUGAGUGUACCUGAAGAAAAAGCAUCGGCUAACUCCGUGCCAGCAGCCGCGGUAAUACGGAGGAUGCGAGCGUUAUCCGGAUUUAUUGGGUUUAAAGGGUGCGCAGGCGGUCUGUUAAGUCAGCGGUCAAAGCCCGGGGCUCAACCCCGGCCCGCCGUUGAAACUGGCAGUCUCGAGUUGGAGAGAAGUAUGCGGAAUGCGCGGUGUAGCGGUGAAAUGCAUAGAUAUCGCGCAGAACUCCGAUUGCGAAGGCAGCAUGCCGGCUCCACACUGACGCUGAGGCACGAAAGCGUGGGUAUCGAACAGGAUUAGAUACCCUGGUAGUCCACGCAGUAAACGAUGAAUGCUGGCUGUCCGGGGGGAUUGACCCCUGGGUGGCGAAGCGAAAGCGAUAAGCAUUCCACCUGGGGAGUACGCCGGCAACGGUGAAACUCAAAGGAAUUGACGGGGGCCCGCACAAGCGGAGGAACAUGUGGUUUAAUUCGAUGAUACGCGAGGAACCUUACCCGGGCUCAAACGGGGAGUGACUCAGGCAGAGACGCCUGUUUCCCACGGGACACUCCCCGAGGUGCUGCAUGGUUGUCGUCAGCUCGUGCCGUGAGGUGUCGGCUUAAGUGCCAUAACGAGCGCAACCCCCGCGUGCAGUUGCUAACAGAUAACGCUGAGGACUCUGCACGGACUGCCGGCGCAAGCCGCGAGGAAGGCGGGGAUGACGUCAAAUCAGCACGGCCCUUACGUCCGGGGCGACACACGUGUUACAAUGGGUGGUACAGCGGGAAGCCAGGCGGCGACGCCGAGCGGAACCCGAAAUCCACUCUCAGUUCGGAUCGGAGUCUGCAACCCGACUCCGUGAAGCUGGAUUCGCUAGUAAUCGCGCAUCAGCCAUGGCGCGGUGAAUACGUUCCCGGGCCUUGUACUCACCGCCCG
rnacentral:rRNA from 1 species